UACGUAGGUGGCAAGCGUUGUCCGGAAUUAUUGGGCGUAAAGCGCGCGCAGGCGGUUCUUUAAGUCUGGUGUAUAAGCCCGUGGCUCAACCACGGGACGCACUGGAAACUGGGGGGCUGGAGUGCAGGAGAGGAAAGUGGAAUUCCACGUGUAGCGGUGAAAUGCGUAGAGAUAUGGAGGAACACCAGUGGCGAAGGCGGCCUCCUGGCCUGUAACUGACGCUGAGGCGCGAAAGCGUGGGGAGCAAACAGG
rnacentral:rRNA from 1 species